rnacentral:lncRNA from 1 species
UAACAUAUUUUAAACCAAAAUAACUUUAUACAAGCCAUUCACUGCCUCAAAGCAAUGGUUUUGGGUUCUUAUCCCAUUUGGGACCAAAUAUCCACAAGUGUUUCUUCUCACUUCUAAACAUUCUUCAUGCAUCUCUAGCACUUGUAAUCAAUCAAAUUCAUUGUAUUAUCACAUAUUCUAACCGAAAGUAACUUUAUACAAGCCAUUCACUACCUCAAAGCAAUGGUUUUGGGUUCUUAUCCCAUUUGAGACCAAAUUUCAACAAAUUUUUCUUCUCACUUCUAAACAUUCUUCAUGCAUUUCUAGCACUUGUAAUCAAUCAAAUUCAUUGUAUUAUAACAUAUUUUAACCCAAAAUAACUUUAUACAAGCCAUUCACUGCCUCAAAGCAAUGGUUUUGGGUUCUUAUCCCAUUUGAGACCAAAUUUCAACAAGUCUU